GACGAACGCUGGCGGCGUGCUUAACACAUGCAAGUCGAACGGAAAGGCCCUGCUUUUGUGGGGUGCUCGAGUGGCGAACGGGUGAGUAACACGUGAGUAACCUGCCCUUGACUUUGGGAUAACUUCAGGAAACUGGGGCUAAUACCGGAUAGGAGCUCCUGCUGCAUGGUGGGGGUUGGAAAGUUUCGGCCGUUGGGGAUGGACUCGCGGCUUAUCAGCUUGUUGGUGGGGUAGUGGCUUACCAAGGCUUUGACGGGUAGCCGGCCUGAGAGGGUGACCGGCCACAUUGGGACUGAGGUACGGCCCAGACUCCUACGGGAGGCAGCAGUGGGGAAUAUUGCACAAUGGGCGGAAGCCUGAUGCAGCAACGCCGCGUGCGGGAUGACGGCCUUCGGGUUGUAAACCGCUUUCGCCUGUGACGAAGCGUGAGUGACGGUAAUGGGUAAAGAAGCACCGGCUAACUACGUG
rnacentral:rRNA from 1 species